GCCUCCUUAGCUCAGUGGUUAGAGCACUGGUCUUGUAAACCAGGUGUCAUGAGUUCGAAUCUCAUAGGGGGCU
rnacentral:tRNA from 1 species